AUUGAACGCUAGCGGGAUGCCUUACACAUGCAAGUCGAACGGAGUGGCGAACGGGUGAGUAAUGUAUCGGAACCUGCCCAGUAGCGGGGGAUCACUACGCGAAAGCGUAGCUAAUACCGCAUACUAUUAGAGCGGCCGAUGUCGGAUUAGCUAGUUGGUGGGGUAACGGCCCACCCAGGCGACGAUCCGUAGCUGGUUUGCGAGGACGACCAGCAACACUGGGACGGAGACACGGCCCAGGCUCCUGCGGGAGGAAGCAGUGGGGAAUUUUGGACAGUGGGGGAAACCCGGAGCCAGCCAUCCCGCGUGUGCGAGGAAGGCCUUCGGGUUGGAAAGCACUUUUGGCAGGAAAGCGGUACCUGCAGAAUAAGCACCGGCUAACUACGUGCCAGCAGCCGCGGUAAUAC
rnacentral:rRNA from 1 species